rnacentral:lncRNA from 1 species
CGCAAACCUUUUGCGUUAUAACGCAAACCUUUGCGAAAUAACGCAAACUUUUGCGUUAAAACGUAAACCUUUGCGUUACAACGCAAACCUUUGCGAUAUAAUGCAAAUCUUUGCGUUAAAACGCAAACCUUUGCGUUAUAACACAAACAUUUAUUUUAUCUUAUUUCUUAUUUAAGAUUCAAAGGAAACAGUAGUUAUUAAUGGAGGAGGCUGUAUAAUAUAUUAAAAUUUAUCACCUUUGUAGUCAUUGCAAAGUAAAAUGCUUGAAUAAUUAUAUCAUAUCAUUGACUAAUAAUGAGCAGAAUAUUAUAAGAAGAUGUGGUAUGAGUGCCAAUAAGAAAAAUCUCCAUCUAAGUCACUAUUCGUAAAAGUAAACCAUCAUAGGCAAAGUACGGUCUUCAACACGGAGCAUUGGCUCACACUGAACAACAAACUAUAAAGGCCCCCCAAAACGAUAUCCAUGUUACUACUAGUAUAUAUAUUACAAAGAAAAUUGAGUAAAUUUAUGUUAUACCUAAGAAAAAAAUCAACCCUGCUAAUAUAGCUAUAACCGAAUAUAAAUAUACUUCCAAAGUAAGCUCUGGUUUGAGAACUGUGUAAAGUAGGUUAGAUUCAAACAAGCUACCCUUUGACAAUAUUUGUAUAGAAUGAAGAUGUUUUAUUAACAAAAUUAUGUUCUCUCUAUUCAAAUUGCUACCC